AGAUGGAGCAAGCUUGUUUUCUCUGGCUCCAGAAGGUAGGACCUGAACCAAUGGCUUCAAGUAACAAGAAGGUUCUGACUAAGCAUCAGGAAGAAUUUUCUGACGAUCUGUUCCACAAUAUGUGUAACCAUUGUCAUGUCACAUUAAAAGGAGCAUCUGUGUGCUUUUAGAGCUCUAGUCUGAGAAGUCUGGUGAAGAGUUGGGUUCUGAAAUAGAAGAGCACAGAGGGCAGCAGCUGUGACAUGCAGCAUUGCCCAGUCUUAUUCCACCUGCAGGAGGUGAAUUUGCAGAUGGACAGAGAUGAUUAUCUGGCUGUGGGAUGCUGUGGAGCGAUAAUAAGGCAAGUUCACUUGCUGAGAGGGACCGCAGCUUGAAGGGGGCUGAUACCCAGUGUCAGAGGCUGGUUGGUGUCUAGCGGCGGACCUUGUGGAAGCUGGCAGAUGUUGGUGGGUGGAAGCUGGUGGAAUUCACAUUCAGAAGCUAAUAGAUGCUGUAAGGCUGAAGCAGUCUGGUGUUUGUCUUUGGGAGCUGGUGAGUAUUUGUGGGUUGGAGUCAGGGCACAUUUGUGAAUGGAUGGAGAACGAUGAGGGAAUGUACCUGUUGAUGUCCUCCACA